rnacentral:tRNA from 1 species
GCCCAAGAAGCGAAAAAUCGCAUUAAGUUUCGGCCUUGAUCUUGAAAUACUUCCUCGGGCU